AUGAUCCUACGGGGCGCAGCAGUGGGGAAUCUUGGACAAUGGGGGAAACCCUUAUCCAGCGACGCCGCGUGAGGGAAGAAGGUUUUCGGAUUGUAAACCUCUGUCAGUGGGGACGAUAAUGACGGUACCCACGGAGGAAGCCACGGCUAACUACGUGCCAGCAGCCGCGGUAAUACGUAGGUGGCAAGCGUUGUCCGGAAUUACUGGGUGUAAAGGGAGCGUAGGCGGGAUGUCAAGUCAGAAGGGAAAAUUAUGGGCUCAACUCAUAACCUGCUUUUGAAACUGAUAUCCUUGAGUGAAGUAGA
rnacentral:rRNA from 1 species